ensembl:lncRNA
AUUUCAAAUCCCUGUCGUGGCAGCACGGGUAAGGCAGAGGACUUUUCUCCCCUUCAAACUAAGGGGAAAACCCACCAGCGAGAAUCUAGUGCACGUCCUAAAGAGCAAACGGAGGACUUUGGGAGGAGGAAACAGUAGUUUGAAGGCACGCUGCGGUGGCAUCGGCUCGCUGUGUGCACUAGUGUCUCCACGCUUGCACUGGAUACACGAAGCAGGACGUUUUCACUGAUCUGCGACUCGCAGGAUCCCCGUGAUCUCCCUGAAAGCCGCCAAACGUUCACACGGAAUGUUGGCUUGAGCUCAAAAAUCCUAAAUCAACCACAGCUUGUCUUUGCUCCCUGGGCCCCACUGCUUUCAGGCUGUCACCCCACAUGUGGAUGUAGACCCCGUCUGGGAUAGUGCGGAUCAGCA